UGGGAUGAGCUAUAAAUAGGCGGAGGAGCUCAUCCCGCGCCGGGUGAAACGGGACGGCCCGCCCGAGGACCCCUAAACUCUGUUUUUAGUGGAACUUCUGAGUAAAACAAACAAAUAAAUCAAAACUUUCAACAACGGAUCUCUUGGUUCUGGCAUCGAUGAAGAACGCAGCAAAAUGCGAUAAGUAAUGUGAAUUGCAGAAUUCAGUGAAUCAUCGAAUCUUUGAACGCACAUUGCGCCCGCCAGUAUUCUGGCGGGCAUGCCUGUUCGAGCGUCAUUUCAACCCUCAAGCUCAGCUUGGUGUUGGGACUCGCGGUAACCCGCGUUCCCCAAAUCGAUUGGCGGUCACGUCGAGCUUCCAUAGCGUAGUAAUCAUACACCUCGUUACUGGUAAUCGUCGCGGCCACGCCGUAAAACCCCAACUUCUGAAUGUUGACCUCGGAUCAGGUAGGAAUACCCGCUGAACUUAAGCUAAUCAAUAAGCGGAGGA
rnacentral:rRNA from 1 species